AUACGGAGGAUCCGAGCGUUAUCCGGAUUUAUUGGGUUUAAAGGGAGCGUAGGCGGGAGAUCAAGUCAGCUGUGAAAUGUAGAUGCUCAACAUCUGCACUGCAGUUGAAACUGGUUUUCUUGAGUGCGUAAGGGGCAGGUGGAAUUCGUCGUGUAGCGGUGAAAUGCUUAGAUAUGACGAAGAACUCCGAUCGCGAAGGCAGCCUGCCGGGCCGCGACUGACGCUGAAGCUCGAAGGUGCGGGUAUCGAACAGGAUUAGAUACCCUGGUAGUCCGCACAGUAAACGAUGGAUACUCGCUGUCGGCGAUAUACGGUCGGUGGCCAAGCGAAAGCGUUAAGUAUCCCACCUGGGGAGUACGCCGGCAACGGUGAAACUCAAAUGAAUUGACGGGG
rnacentral:rRNA from 1 species